rnacentral:pre_miRNA from 1 species
UAUAAUGUUUUAACUCUUCGUCUUAUUUGAAAUAUUUUUGUGAUUAAUGUUUUUAUUAUUACUAGAUGAUAAAAUAUGAAUAGUACUUUAUACAUGACUAUUUUUUUAAAAUUUUUGUACAAAUUUUUCAAAUAAGACUAAUGGUCAAACGUUGAACACAGAAAAAC